rnacentral:rRNA from 1 species
AUUGAACGCUGGCGGCAGGCCUAAAACGUGCAAGUCGAGCGGUAGAGAGAAGCUUGCUUCUCUUGAGAGCGGCGGACGGGUGAGUAAUGCCUAGGAAUCUGCCUGGUAGUGGGGGAUAACGUUCGGAAACGGACGCUAAUACCGCAUACGUCCUACGGGAGAAAGCAGGGGACCUUCGGGCCUUGCGCUAUCAGAUGAGCCUAGGUCGGAUUAGCUAGUUGGUGGGGUAAUGGCUCACCAAGGCGACGAUCCGUAACUGGUCUGAGAGGAUGAUCAGUCACACUGGAACUGAGACACGGUCCAGACUCCUACGGGAGGCAGCAGUGGGGAAUAUUGGACAAUGGGCGAAAGCUUGAUCCAGCCAUGCCGCGUGUGUGAAGAAGGUCUUCGGAUUGUAAAGCACUUUAAGUUGGGAGGAAGGGCAGUAAAUUAAUACUUUGCUGUUUUGACGUUACCGACAGAAUAAGCACCGGCUAACUCUGUGCCAGCAGCCGCCGUAA